rnacentral:lncRNA from 1 species
UCCACACGGAGGAGGGUUAUUCAGCCUUCAAAAGGAAGGGAGUCCUGACACGGGCUACAGCACGGGUGAACCCCGGGGACACGAUGCUGAGCGACGUUAGCCCGUCACAGAAGGACGACUACUGCGUGAUUCCCCUCAUGUGAGGCCCCUGGAGGAGUCACAUCCACAGAGACAGGAAGGAGAACGGAGGGGCCUGGGCUGAGUGGGGAGGGGCCUGGUGUUGAAUGGGGACCCGGUCUCAGGUUGGGAAGAUGAAAAGAGCCCUGGAGACGGACAGCGGGGAGGGCCACGCGCAAUGCGGAUGUGCUCGCUGCCCCUGAACGGGACGCUUAAAAGUGGCAAAACAGUAAAUGUUAUGAAUAUUUUACUGUAAUUUUAAAAAGCAGCCCAAAGAGAUGUGAAUAUUAUGCGAAUCGCAGAUUAAGCAUUUCUUGAUCAGAAUAGUUAUUACCUUUGGUAGGUAGGAUUCCAAGAUGGUCCCCAAACCCCUAUCUUUGUAGACACCCCUCCCCUCUAAGUGUGUGGGGCCUGUGACUCCUUCUCGCUGGUGGCCGCGUGAAGGUGGCCCCCUUUCGGAGGAGUCUGGGGGAGAGACCGAGGCCGCAGACCCUCUCCGUGCAGCAGCCGCCCUGAAUCCCGCAGCCGCAGGAAACGCAUCAGCUGUGGCCUGAGAUAGCGGGCGGGGACCUGUCCCCAUGGGGCUCCGGAUGAGAACGUGGCCGACCUUCGUCUCCACUGAGGCCGGGUGACCCCCGGCUGAGACCGGCUAAGCACCGCCCGGCUCCCGGCCCAGGAAGACAGUGUGCUCGUAAACUCGGGCCGUGUGAACCGGCCAAGCUCAUGGAUGAGGACGAUCUCACUACGUCACAGAAUCGCAGAGAUUGCGUGAGGCGUGCGUGUAAGGCACACACAGUGCCCGCGAGUGCCAGCGGCUGCUGCUCUGUCGUCACCGUUCGGGGUUUUUGAAAUAAGCUAAGGCAGGCACCUUGAGAAGCAAUAUGAGUGGCUUCCGUGAAGACAUCCCAGACCUGCCGGGUCUCGUCAGCCCACUGGCCCCCUGGAGUCAACUGGUCCCAGAGCCCAGCUCCAGGGAAACAGGGUCCUGAGAACCACAGGAAAGCUGGCCAAUGCCACUGCCUCCAGGCAGCCCUCCAGUCAGAGAGGGCAAGGGAUGAGGAGGUCGUGCGCGCCCACACUCACGCGCCCUUACAGACACUCCACACUCUCAGAGACCCCCACCCGCCAGACACCCCCUCAGGCCUGGAGAGCAAGAAGGUUUUGCUUUAACCCUCUCGAGGCCAGCUCUGCUAUGACCCCAUUUCACACAGGGGGAAACCGAGACCAAACAGGGCCCGUGGUUUGGCUGGGGUCACAUGACGGGGAAGUGGCAGAGCUGGGAUUUGAACCCAGGAGGCUGGCACGGGCCGAAUCGUUGCCCCAGAUGAUGGCUUCCUCUGUGUCCGCCCAGGCAGGCGGGCGUGGAGCAGGGGCGGCUGUGGCGCCCUGUGCUGGGGGCGCUCAUGUUCUCUCUCUGCUUUUCUGGAUUUGCACUUGUGGGUGCCGAGUCAGCCUCGCGCGGUUGAGCCGUGUGGUGACCGAGCUCUGGAGCCGAGGGGACGGUCGGGAGCAGACCGCCCGUGCUGAGCCCCCUCGCAGGAAGCCCUCUGGCUCUGGGCCCGGAAUUGUGCAGUGUGGCGUCCAGACAACCUCCCGGGCCGCCCUCAGCACCGUGGGUGUGCAGAGGCCCCGUUCAGGACACCGUGGGGGUGGUCCCCACAAAUGGCCUGUUUAGCCGUUUUCCUGAAGCUUCCUGGCCGUGGAGCUGAGCACCUCAGCCUGACUUGUCUGGUCUGUCUGGGGCGCCCGUCAUCCCCAAGGCCCCAGCCGUCCUCCACACCUCUCGGGGUUUCAGGACUGAAGGACCAGGGACCUGCCCUCCCACCCAGAGAGGCCACCUCGAGGAAGGACAUCC